UGUUUAUCCAUUAUCCAUUUCAUUAUCUACUAAUUAACUCAUAAGAAUCUAUUAUAUCUAAGAAUUCUACCAUCUAGUAUUUAUUUUUUAAUAACAAUUAACUAUAUUCUAGAAAUUCUAAUACCUACUCAUUAAUCUUUAAUUGAUAACAUUUCAAAUAAUACAAAAGAAAUGAUUAAUAUUUUUAUCUACUCAAGAGCUCACCCAUGGUACCGACCAUCACCUACAGUAACAAUAAGGAAGGAGAGAGAAAAUUUCCCCUUUUUUGCUCUUUUUUUUUUUUUUUCCUUAUCUUUUCUUGUCCUAACCCACUCACACA
rnacentral:lncRNA from 1 species